ensembl:lncRNA
GGAAUUGACAUACAGUAUGUUAGAUACUGACGCAAUUGAUCCAGGGCCAACUGACCUACCUUGUGACCUGUGACCUCCCCCAAUGCUCUAACCAGCUGGAAAAUGAAGAAUGUAGGCUGUACCUUUUCCCUUUUGUAACUUCCCUACCUAGCUGCUGCGACUCAGACAGACCUGGUCUUUGGGGAUUGUGUUAAUGUAAUCUACGGGCAGCCCGGCGAAGAAGGGCCCCAUCAUCUUCAUCACAUCCAAAUUCAGCCACAGCAGACUGGGAGGGCAGGUCAUCACUGGAAAGAGAGGAUGACGUUUCAAAAGGCACAGGAAAGUAUGCAGCACACGAAAAGAAGAGUAUCUGUUAUCCCUCUCUACACAUCCUCUCUCUGCAUCUCUUCUCACCUGCGAGAUUACCUGUUCAGGUGAAGUGAAUAACACUGAUCAUCUAACAAGUGCACACGUCAAGGUCUGGGUAUAUAAGAUGAUACAACAGUCAACUCUUGUAAUCAACGUGUUGGAUGCAGGCGAAACGGCAGGAGUAAAGACCUGAGCAACUUUGACAAGGGUCAAAUUGUAAUGGCCAGACGACUGGGUCCUUACAUCUUUGAAAUGAUGGCUUGUGGGGUGCUACCGGUCAGCAGAAUACCUACCAACAGUGACAACAGGGUGUUGGGUGCCCAAGGCUCAUCGAUGUGCGAGGGCAACAAAAGCCAUUCCGUCUGGUCCGAACCGACAGAAGGUCAACUUUGGCACAAACCACAGUUAACGAUGGUUACGGGAGGAAUGUGUCACAACACCCAGUGCAUCGCACCCUGCUGCUUAUGGGGCUGCAUAGCCACAAACUGGUUGGAGUGCCCAUGAUGACUGGUUGGAGUGCCCAUGAUGACUGGUUGGAGUGCCCAUGAUGACUGGUUGGAGUGCCCAUGAUGACCACUGUCCCCCAUCAAAAAGUGCCUACAAUGGGCAUGCGAGCAUCAGAACUGGACCUUGGAACAGUGGAAGAAUGAGUCCCGUUGGAACGGAUAGGGCCACAGUGUCACUGGACACUGUCUCAUGUUGUCAAUAUAACAGUGAACUCUGUGGGGAUAUUUCAGAAAGCGGGUUUAGUGAAAACUCAGAGUUAGUUGACUCAGAAACUCUGGGUCUACGGUUUCAAAGAGCCAGUUCAGCGUUAUUCUGAGUCAGUUACUACGGCAACAUACUCUGUGAAGCUAACCUGCUCACUAGCAGGUUUUAGCCAACUAACUCUUCAACUGUUCUACUCUUUAACUGAAACCUGCUCUCUGAAUGUGUCAGACAGGACAUGUCCUUUUCUCGAAGAGCCACUUGAAGCACAAGUACUCUGCAGAAAUCUCAGUCGGGAGUGAUCAGACCCCGCUUGGAUGUUUUUUAUCAUUCCCUAAUGAUUAUCUGUUUAAGCAUUACCGUUUUUCUGCACAAUGGAUAAUUCAUAUGAACAAUAUUCUCAGCUCUAAUAUUGUUCCUAUGAUACAUCGUGGACUUGCCCUCAGUUCGGGAACAAAUUAUUUGUGUUGCAGUUUUCUGUAACAUAGGAAACACUUCGGUCAAUUCAGAGUGGUAUGGGGUCCAUACGUUCCAGUCUGUAACAAAACAUAAAAUGGAAUGUAGAUAUGUCUGCCACUCAGAGGAAAGAAAAGCAAUGCAUUAUAAAAAUAAAUAAAGUGAUGUGUCCUUCAGAAAUGUUUUUAGUAAAGUUGUUAAGCAACAGAAGCAAGAUAAAAUGGAUAGAUCUGACUUUUCGCCAUAGGGUGAUGUGUAGGUGGUUGUGAUAUGCUCUC